CUUGUGCUUUGCUCCUGGUACUCUUAGGGAAAGUUGUCUUAGACUCUCUUUUCUUCCAGAAUGAGAAAUGCUUUAAAAUCCAGAAUAACUGCACUCACAGUUAGAUUGUACCCAUCUGUUCUUGUGUUAGCAUUUCCCUAAGCUUAAAUAGCACUUCUUUUUCUAAUACAUUUAUAGAAUACAGUUGUAACCCUCUCUUUGUUUGGCCUAACCAUGCUGGCUCAGCGCUUCCUCUCCCUUGUAGGAUUUCUCCAGCCCUGAACAUUCUGAGCACUUUUUGCACCUAUUUCUGUUAAGCCUUCUUAAUUAAGAGGUAUUCUGGCUGUACUCAGUGUUCCUGAUGAAGACUGUUUGCAGCUUUUGGAAAUAUCUUGACUGAUGCAGCCUGAUACAUUUAAGCCCAUUUCUGUUAGACAUAGUAAGUGGAAAUUUCAGCAAGAGUCCCACUGACUUCAGAGGAUGAACUCCAUCACCUUUCUUUGCUCCCAGUGUCCAGACUUCAUUCUACCUAAAAAUUUCCUCAACUAAAGAUUUAGAAAAUAACAAAAGCUAGCAAUGUGUCUUUGCACAUAAUUAUGAAAUGAAAAAAUGGUAGUAUUUGUAAUAGGUACUGGUAAGACAGUUUUCUGAGAACUUAUGUUAAACUAGUUGAAUCAAAGAUAGAUCUUUUUAAAUUAAUGAAUAGAUUUUUUGACCAGCUUUAACAACAAUAUACCCAAAAGAUUUGUCAGAAAUGAGAUUAAGAAUUACUCUUUCACAUGAAAGAAUUCAGAUUUAUCUGCUGCUGGAUGCUGCAUUUGGCAUGAACUGCAAGCUUGCAAAAGGGUGGAGGGUUUGAUCAAAAGAUCCAGAAAAUUUAUGUGGGUAACCGAAGCCAAUCUAUUUGGCAAAACAUACAGAUAAUGUUACUGUCACAUUGUUUUGGGAUUCUUUGGUAUUGCAAGUUUUCCAAAAUAAGUUUGUAUUCAAUAAAUUGGAAUCAGCGAGUCAUAAUAAAAGGUAUUUCUCUGUAGGAAGAAACGAGCAGAGAAGAUUCAGGAUUUGAGGCUGCAGAGAACCUGUUUUACUACACUCCCAGUACAAAUUCUGGAAUCUAAAGAACUGUGCACCCAUGUGCUACACUGGCCACUUUUGAGAAAGUGACAGAUGGCACUCAGUAACAACUUGAUAGACCUCAAAUUGAUCUGUACCCUCCUGAUUCUUUGGAAUACUAUGCUCUUUGGAGUAUGCCCCUAAACAGAGGCAUCUCAAAAUACACCUGAAACUAUAGGUCACCAUACCUGGCACACAGUAAGCAAAAAUGGAAAUGAAAAACAUUUGUAUACUGAACAAUGCAAUCAAACACUAUCAUGAGAAAAAAAAUGAAGAAACUACGUUUCAACAUAAGAAACAUGCUGCAUGGUUUCGUACGAGUCUUCCAAUAGCUGUCCACCUCAUUUAAAUUCCAGAAGAACACACACCUGCAUCACUACACCGAAGAGAAUUAGCCCACCAGCGAUGGCAGGGAUCUCAGGGCUCAGACAUUUCCCCUUCCCAGAGAGGCCACUGGAGACAAGUGGAGAACAUUUAUCCACUGCCUGCUCCUGCUGGGGAAGGAAAAAAAAAACCUUGAUGCCCCCUGCUGCUUUCAGCUGAUGCUGGUUCUCCUGUAGCAUUGUGCCAUAGUGAUACUUUACAACUGCUAAAGCUUCCCAGCCAGUCAGAAAAAGCCAUCAAAACGUGCAGAUGAAAGAGCUACACCACUCUAUGCUGUUUACUGGACCAGCUGCUGUUUCCAUGUGAGUAAGAGCGAUGAGGCCAGCAAGCCCAGAUCAGUGCCACAUCCCUCCACCUUUCCCUCUAAGGAGGAGAGGACAGACUACUGUCAGUAACUAGGUGGGAAAGCAUCUGCCAUAUCACUAAUUCUUCGUAUCUGAUAUUCCCCACAUACCACGCAUACAGGAACAAUACAACAAGAAAAUCUAUAGCAUUCUUAUGAAGAUCACUCAUGUUUGUAACACAAAAUUUUAAUCACAAUUUUCAGCCCUAGGAGCUAAAUAAACAAUAUUAUCUAUCAUUCAAUACAUAUCACAGUAUGCUUGAAAAAUCUUUUCCUCCACUUAACAGAUACCCUUUCAGUCUCUCUUUAAAAGAAAUAUUUUUUGCCUACAGUUCUUGUGUUUGGUCUGUAGCCAGAGGAAAAUAUUUCGGGAAAGUGUGAGGCCAUUUGGACAAGACAUCCCUGGGAAACUGGACUGAAAAAAAAAGGAGGUGUUGUCACUUGUCACUUCAGAAAAAAAAUUGCGUUCCUUCUCCCUUUUCUUACAUAUAGGCAUGUCUUCAAAAUCUGAGUUGGCAGAUAAACUCCAAUAACGACCUUUUUUAUUAUCUAAGAAUCACAGAAUUUUCUCUUGUGAGAGGAGGCACAACUUUUGAAGAUAAUUGUCAAACAAUCCAGACUGUAACUUAUCCAUCACAAGCAGCUUUGCAUCUAUCAUGUCACUCCUGUAUAUAUAAUUGGAUAGUAACAUUACAGAUCUGUUCAUGUACAGGAGGUUUAUCACACACAGAAGCAGCCUGCAUUCGCUAACAUCCAGCUAUCAAGACAGAAGUCGCCCAGAGAAACAGAUCUCUUCCACAUCCAUCACUACAUUGCAAUUCUGUAUGACAAGAAGGAAGUUCCACAAUCUGACCAAGCCACCCUUAAGAAAUUC